GCUGACUAUCCCCUCUGCCUCGUGCUGGCUGUGUGUGAGACUGUUGAUUGCUAAUUGAUGGACAGGUGUCCACGGAGGCUGGAGCGGUGUGCCUUGCUCGGAGGACUUGUUGUGCAAACAUAAGCAACGACUGCAGACCUGUGUGCUUAUCGUGCAAAGCAAGCCUGCAGAAGCAAGACGACUUGGUGCUGGUGGCUGGAUAUGGAGCUUGGCUCAACGUGCACUGAAGAUAAGUAAAGGAAAGUUGGAUUGCCUAUGCGUGUGUGAAAUUUCGCCGGUGGUGCACGACUGUGACCAAGAGACUGUUUUAUUGUUUGCCCAUAGUGUUUCGGAGUAGCUGGAGCCUGCCUGCGCAAGCGAGACAACUGAGCCCUUCCAACUCAAUGCCAAUCUAGGCAGACUCUUGGCCUAUUAUGCAUGGCUUCUCUAUUGGACCACUCCCUUUUACCUCCAAUCCCAUGUUAAUGGAUGAUGGACUGUUUAUAAACAGAGUAGUCUGUAUGCAAAAACAGGCUGAACACUUUUUUUUUUUAACUACUGCUUCUUUUAAAAGUGUGCACAUUUUAUUUGUGCUUGUGUAUUUGACUUGUAUUUGUGUAACUUAAAUAAAUCCAUAUAAUUAGUUGUGGCAUAUGCCCACCCCCCAGGCCCUGACGAUGACAGCCGAGAGAGCUGGCAGAAAGGCGGGGCCCGAGCACUCAGCGGCGACACACCUCGCCGAGGAGAGAGCCACACGUGUGGAGGGGCGGAGCGCAUGCCACAUAAUUUAAUUAGACAUCUUCCAUUUCCA